GGAACAUUGUCAUGUGACUUUCACUUAUUGUCUGGGAAUGUCAAGUGGAGCUUGCCAGACGGUGGAGAUGAUGAUAAUCAACUUGUACACUGCACACACAUGUGCUUAUCCCCCAACACACACAUGCACACACACAUGUGCUUAUCCCCCCGACACACAUGCACACACACAUGUGCUUAUCCCCCCAACACACAUGUACACACACACACA
rnacentral:lncRNA from 1 species